CUUACACAUGCAGUCGAACGAUGAUGCCCAGCUUGCUGGGCGGAUUAGUGGCGAACGGGUGAGAAAUACGUGAGUAACCUGCCCUUGACUCUGGGAUAAGCCUGGGAAACUGGGUCUAAUACUGGAUACUACCUCUUACCGCAUGGUGGGUGGUGGAAAGGGUUUUACUGGUUUUGGAUGGGCUCACGGCCUAUCAGCUUGUUGGUGGGGUAAUGGCUCACCAAGGCGACGACGGGUAGCCGGCCUGAGAGGGUGACCGGCCACACUGGGACUGAGACACGGCCCAGACUCCUACGGGAGGCAGCAGUGGGGAAUAUUGCACAAUGGGCGGAAGCCUGAUGCAGCGACGCCGCGUGAGGGAUGACGGCCUUCGGGUUGUAAACCUCUUUCAGUAGGGAAGAAGCGAGAGUGACGGUACCUGCAGAAGAAGCGCCGGCUAACUACGUGCCAGCAGCCGCGGUAAUACGUAGGGCGCAAGCGUUGUCCGGAAUUAUUGGGCGUAAAGAGCUCGUAGGCGGUUUGUCGCGUCUGCUGUGAAAGCCCGGGGCUCAACCCCGGGUCUGCAGUGGGUACGGGCAGACUAGAGUGCAGUAGGGGAGACUGGAAUUCCUGGUGUAGCGGUGAAAUGCGCAGAUAUCAGGAGGAACACCGAUGGCGAAGGCAGGUCUCUGGGCUGUUACUGACGCUGAGGAGCGAAAGCAUGGGGAGCGAACAGGAUUAGAUACCCUGGUAGUCCAUGCCGUAAACGUUGGGCACUAGGUGUGGGGGACAUUCCACGUUUUCCGCGCCGUAGCUAACGCAUUAAGUGCCCCGCCUGGGGAGUACGGCCGCAAGGCUAAAACUCAAAGGAAUUGACGGGGGCCCGCACAAGCGGCGGAGCAUGCGGAUUAAUUCGAUGCAACGCGAAGAACCUUACCAAGGCUUGACAUUCACCGGACCGCCCCAGAGAUGGGGUUUCCCUUCGGGGCUGGUGGACAGGUGGUGCAUGGUUGUCGUCAGCUCGUGUCGUGAGAUGUUGGGUUAAGUCCCGCAACGAGCGCAACCCUCGUUCUAUGUUGCCAGCACGUGAUGGUGGGGACUCAUAGGAGACUGCCGGGGUCAACUCGGAGGAAGGUGGGGAUGACGUCAAAUCAUCAUGCCCCUUAUGUCUUGGGCUUCACGCAUGCUACAAUGGCCGGUACAAAGGGUUGCGAUACUGUGAGGUGGAGCUAAUCCCAAAAAGCCGGUCUCAGUUCGGAUUGAGGUCUGCAACUCGACCUCAUGAAGUCGGAGUCGCUAGUAAUCGCAGAUCAGCAACGCUGCGGUGAAUACGUUCCCGGGCCUUGUACACACCGCCCGUCAAGUCACGAAAGUUGGUAACACCCGAAGCCGGUGGCCUAACCCCUUGUGGGAGGGAGCCGUCGAAAGGGGGACCG
rnacentral:rRNA from 1 species